rnacentral:lncRNA from 1 species
CCCUGAUGAUGCAGUCGUGGCUCAGAGGAAACUGCUGAAAAAUCCAAGCCUCCCUUUAUUUCCAUGGAUUCAACUGCUAUUAGAACAGAGAAUUUUUGUGAGAUACAAACUUUUCUAAAGUGCUGUGUGAGUUGAUUAAAAUGUCAGCUUGUCUUUUCGAACCCACCUUCCUUUGGAGGCAAAUUAAAUAAUCUGUGCACAGAGAGACAUGACAUGCAUGUAAAAGCAGCAAAGAGAGGGCAAGACACUAACUAGUUCAGACCCAGACAUGGGCUGAAAUGAGGCAAUUCUGGGAGCUCCUACUGCAUUUGAAGAAGAGGAGAAAUCAAGCAUGAGAUUGUUUUCCAGGGGAAUGGUUCCUGCUCUUACCCAUUCGAUACGAUGUUUGCUGUGGAUCUGUCAUAGAAGGCUCUUUGGAGGUAUGUUCCUUCAAUACCUAGUUUAUUUGACAGUUUUUCAUAUAAAUGGGUGAUGAAUUUCAUCCAAAGUUUUUUCUGCAUCGAGAUAAUAAUGUGGUUGUUUUUGUCUUUAGUUCUGUUUACGUGAUGAAUUACAUUUAUUGAUUUGUGUAUGUUGAACCAACCUUGCAUCCCAAGGAUAAAGCCUACUUGAUAGCAGUUAAUAAGCUUUUGGAUGUGCUGUCGUAUUCAGUUUUUGUUGAGGAAUUUUGUAUCAAUGUUCAUCAAGAAUACUAGACUGACGUUUUCCUUUUUUUUGUUGUAUUUCUGCCAGGUUUUGGUAUCAGGAUGAUGCUGGCCUCAUAGAAUGAGCUGGGAAAGAGUCCUUUCUCCUUAUUUUUUUGGGAAUAGUUUCAGCAGGAAUGAUACCAGCUCUUCUUUGUGUAUCUUGUAGAAUUCUGCUGUGAAUCUGUCUGGUCCUAGGCUUUUGUUGUUGUUGCUGCUGUUGUUGUUGGUAGUCUAUUACUACAGCAAUUUCAGAGCUCAUUAUUAGUCUGUUCAGGGAUUCAAUCUUCUCCUGGUUCAGUCUUAGGAGGGUGUAUGUGUCAAGGAAGUUACCCAUUUCUUCUAGAUUUUCCAGUUUAUGAGCAUAGAGGUGCAUAAUAUUCUCUGAUGGUUGUUUGUAUUUCUGUGAAGUCAAUGGUAAUAUCCCCUUUAUUGUUUCUGUGUAUUUAUUUGAAUCUUCUCUCUUUUCUUCCUUAUUAGUCCAGAUAGUC